rnacentral:lncRNA from 1 species
CCUUUACUGUUUUAACACAAACAAGUAUAGCUUUUUAUUUCAGAUAUGAAAAAUUAAAAUACAUUUUAAAAGGAUCCCAUUUGUAGUUGGGUUGAAAUUUAUUAAAAGUAAGUGUUUCAUUUUGUCUUAAAUGUAUAGACUUAAGAUCAUAUGCUUUUUUUGACCCAUUAAUAUGUUAAUAUAUUUCAGUAUAUUAAAAGUAGUGUUGUGUUCCUAGGUGUAUUAUUACUGUUACACUUGAUGUGAAAGAUUCUUUUAGUGUCUUACUGAAUCCUUUGAAAAAGAGAAACUAUGUAUUUUUAUUCCUUGAAGUAUUAUACAUUCUGUGUGAAAAUUUAGGAAAUAUAAUUAAAUACAAAAAUAUAAGGAGGUUACAAAGAUUUAUCAUGGUCCCAUCUUUUGAAGACAUCUGCCCUUCAGAGUUAAUAUAUUCUUCCAUUUACACUGUCUAGAGCUGGCACUUUCAGAAGGAGGGCUCUUGCCCAGCCUUGUCACUUAAAAAGUUUCAAUUCUGGUUAUAU